GUAGUCUCGCACAGAUGCAUAUCAAUAAGCGGAGGAAAAGAAACUAACAAGGAUUCCCUCAGUAACGGCGAGUGAAGCGGGAAGAGCUCAAAUUUGAAAUCUUGAAAGGUCACCUUUCACGAAUUGUAGUUUAAAGAAGUGUUUUCUGUUACGAUCGUAAUAUAAGUUCUUUGGAAUAGGACAUCACAGAGGGUGAGAAUCCCGUCUAUGAUUGCGAUUUGUAGCUUUGUGAUACACUUUCAAAGAGUCGGGUUGUUUGGGAAUGCAGCCCAAAACGGGAGGUAAAUUUCUUCUAAGGCUAAAUAUUGGCGAGAGACCGAUAGCGAACAAGUACCGUGAGGGAAAGAUGAAAAGAACUUUGAAAAGAGAGUUAAAUAGUACGUGAAAUUGUCAAAAGGGAAGCGUUAACACCAGUGUUGUUUUCUGAAAAUCAACCUCUGUUAGCUUUAUGCAUGUUUGUUUAGACCUAAUCAGCUAUCUUGCAUGUUCUAUUGUUUGCAGUGGUGCACUUUUCAGUUUACAGGUCAACAUCAGUUUUUUUUACCGUAAAAAAGUUAAAGAAAGGUAGCUCAUGGCUCCGGUCGUGAGUGUUAUAGUCUUUUUCCUAUGCGGUAGGAGAGACUGAGGUCUGCAGUGUAGGCUAUUUGGCUAGAUACUCAGGUGCUAUGUGAUACCAUUUCAUAAACAACUUGUUGAUUAUGUUUUGUCUAUUGCAUACUCGCUUGUACUAUCAUACCUACGCUUAGGAUGUUGAGUCGUAGAGCACGCAG
rnacentral:rRNA from 1 species